UACGUAGGUGGCAAGCGUUGUCCGGAUUUAUUGGGUUUAAAGGGUGCGUAGGCGGCCCUGUAAGUCAGUGCUGAAAUAUCCCGGCUUAACCGGGAGGGUGGCAUUGAUACUGCAGGGCUUGAGUACAGAUGAAGUAGGCGGAAUUGACGGUGUAGCGGUGAAAUGCAUAGAUAUCGUCAAGAACACCGAUAGCGAAGGCAGCUUACUAAGCUGUAACUGACGCUGAGGAGCGAAAGCGUGGGGAGCGAACAGG
rnacentral:rRNA from 1 species